UCCGAGUUGACCCCGGCAGUCUCCUGCGAGUCCCCGCCAUCACGCGCUGGCAACAUAGAACGAGGGUUGCGCUCGUUGCGGGACUUAACCCAACAUCUCACGACACGAGCUGACGACAACCAUGCACCACCUGUGCAGGAUCUCCGAAGAGGGGCUCUCGUUUCUGAGAGCUUGCUCCUGCAUGUCAAGCCUAGGUAAGGUUCUUCGCGUUGCGUCGAAUUAAACCACAUGCUCCACCGCCUGUGCGGGCCCCCGUCAAUUCCUUUGAGUUUUAGCCUUGCGGCCGUACUCCCCAGGCGGGGCACUUAAUGCGUUAGCUACGGCACGGAACCCGUUGAAUAGGCCCCACACCUAGUGCCCAACGUUUACGGCGUGGACUAC
rnacentral:misc_RNA from 1 species